GACGAACGCUGGCGGCGUGCUUAACACAUGCAAGUCGAACGGAGUGGCGAACGGGUGAGUAACACGUGGGUGAUCUGCCUUGCACUACGGGAUAAGCUUGGGAAACUGGGUCUAAUACCGGAUAGGGCAGGAUGAGCGGGGGGCCUAUCAGCUUGUGGGUGGGGGCAUGGCCUACCAAGGCGUCGACGGGUAGCCGGCCUGCGAGGGUGUACGGCCACAUUGGGACUGAGAUACGGGCCAGACUCGUACGGGAGGCAGCAGUGGGGAAUAUUGGACAAUGGGCGGAAGCCUGAUGCAGAGACGCUGGGUGGGGGAUGAAGGCCUUCGGGUUGUAAACUCCUUUCGGCAGGGACGCGGUACCUGUAUAAGAAGCACCGGCUAACUACGUGCCAGCAGCCGCGGUAAUAC
rnacentral:rRNA from 1 species